AGGACGAACGCUGGCGGCGUGCCUAACACAUGCAAGUCGAGCGAAUGAAGUUCCUUCGGGAACGGAUUUAGCGGCGGACGGGUGAGUAACACGUGGGCAACCUACCUCAUAGAGGGGAAUAGCCUUCCGAAAGGGAGAUUAAUACCGCAUAAGAUUGUAGUACCGCAUGGUACAGCAAUUAAAGGAGCAAUCCGCUAUGAGAUGGGCCCGCGGCGCAUUAGCUAGUUGGUGAGGUAACGGCUCACCAAGGCGACGAUGCGUAGCCGACCUGAGAGGGUGAUCGGCCACAUUGGGACUGAGACACGGCCCAGACUCCUACGGGAGGCAGCAGUGGGGAAUAUUGCACAAUGGGGAAACCCUGAUGCAGCAACGCCGCGUGAGUGAUGACGGCCUUCGGGUUGUAAAGCUCUGUCUUCAGGGACGAUAAUGACGGUACCUGAGGAGGAAGCCACGGCUAACUACGUG
rnacentral:rRNA from 1 species